GGAAGAGCAUCAUGUGCUCGCCCAGGACUGCGGAGCCUGCGCUGCUGAUACUCCUGGAUGUGCUGGGGAGCUGGCCCGAACACAGCAUGUGCACCUCCGAUGGGGACAAAACGGGUGUCUUGGUCCUGGCUGCCACUGUGGUGAUGUGGAAGAUCCUCCAGGUGCCCUGUGUCCCACACACAGUGACGGUGUAUUUCCCUCGCCUCUUUGUGCAUCUGCUUUUCCAAGUGUUCUUCACCACUCUGGAUAUGCCAGAGGAGGUGGAUACCUUUUGGAAGGGGUGCCAAGAGCAAUAUGACCUUGCCACCAGCCCCAACAGGUUUGCAGUGCGGACUCUGAAGUCCCUGCUCUGCCGAAUGCAGCACGAGGAUGUGGUGGUGGCGAUGGAAGCACCAGCGUGUGGCUGGG